AAUGUCAUAAAAAUAUUUAAAUUAAAGAUGUAAAAAACACAUUGUUCAAGCGAAGACAAAACCCAUUUGCAUUGCUUUCCGCACGGCAUCCAAAGCAAGCCUUGUUUGUCUGCGUAUCGCAUCGCAUGCCAGGGAGAGAAGGAGAGAAAAAAAAGCUAUUCGCACCUUUCGGAGAGGUGUCAAAUCAUCAGAAGGUGAGAUGUCCCAGAGUGCGGUAGACACGGAUAACAUCACGUCUGCCUAAUGGUUGGAGGCACCAGAAGAACGGCGGCGGCCCGCUCCGCCGGGCACCAGCGCCGGGGAAGCCGGGUGCCGUCCCUCUCCCACGUGGCGCUCGGAGCCGCUGGCUCCCAGCCACCUCACCACCGCCGCCGCCACCGCGAGCCUCCGAGUAGCGGCUUCCGACCGUCAGCGCCGAGCCGCUCUGCGGGUUUCGCGUGAGAGCCGCCAAACCCCCCCAACUCCCCCCAUUGCCGCCGCCAGGCCUGGACGAAGGCUUGGGUCGUCACGCGGCAGCCAAGAGUGGCUGUCGUGGACAGAUGUUGCAGUUGGCUGCAGGACGCGGUCGUGACACGAGGUGUGAGCUUUUGAGGGAUACGGGGUCUGCGUCGUUGGGGCGUGGGGGGGGUGCGGUGGCCAGAAAUUGACUUUUUACAUCGCCAUCUUCGUCAGUUGUCGUCCGUGAUCGUUGUUUGGAACUUUGUCGUUGGAUCAUCGUCAACGUUAAAAUGACUGAUUCGACACCGGUAACCCAAGUUCAUUUCUGCGGCUAAUGUCAGUGGCGAGUGAUAUCUCCACCGCUCCUGUGGCUCCCCCAAAGGCGAACCUAAAACUUCCAAAGCUGGGUGGGCGGUGGUCCAAAAAUGCCAAUAUUUUUAUGAAUGGGUGUCUCAAGGGGUAGGCACCCCCCCCCCUUCUAUAACUCACACUGAUGAGCGUAAUGAGGUAUGGUCAAACAACCACCCCCAUGAUCGACACGGCAUGGGGAGGCCUUUAUUCAGCAAUGUGUUGACAAUGGGCCGUAAUCAUUAUUAUACAUAUUGAUACAGUGCAAAUACUCCGUGUAAUUUGGUAAUAUUAGCAGGCGGAAAAAACAACUGAACCACCUCUCCACCCCCACUAUUGUAGCCGAUUCACUUUCCUGAGCAUUUGUCUUAAUUAGUUGAGAUUAACUGCUGAAACGGGAGCUCAUACUCCCCAAAUGUUUAAUUUGCGGAAGAGAGCUGGGAUUUGUCUCCUGCUGAGGAUGGCUUCCCACGGCCGUCUCCGUCGGGCAGCAUGGCGUUACCAAACUUGUACACGUGCCAGCCAAGACGGCAAUACGCUCACAAUAAAAACCCUCGGAAGUUCUGUCCUUCGUUACUACAUUUUUGCCGCAUUUCGUGCGACAGCAAAAGUGGAGUAAAAUGCGCACGCGCAGCACGACGCCGCAGCGUAUCCCACUCGCCCGCGACUGGGAUAUAUGCGGAUAGGUGAAACGGUCAGAUAUGUUACGGCAUCGUGCACAAAUACUGCACUGCGUCUGGGUGGUUAAUUGGUCAGGGCGGGCAUGUGACGGUCGGAUAUGCGACAUACUGAACCACCGCCAAAAAAUACCUCUUAAACGUAACACCUUCCCCUUCUUUAGCACGAAAUGUAUUCAAACUUUGGCAAGGGUGCGCAAGUGUCUCCGCAGAUCUCUGUCUCCCUGAGCUGGCGUUGAAGCCAUGGCAGGGAGCGGUGCAGUGGAGCUCCCACUUGGCUGGAGGAGACGAUCGCACGCACGCAACACCGGCGUGAUGCGGAACGCUGGCACGGGAGAGACCCGCUGCUGCUGACGGGCUUCAGCAUGAGACUGGCCAGGCGUGGUGAGCAAGAGGAAGCCAAUUAGAGCGGACCCGCAUGCCAGGAUGCGUUACACAAAGGACAGUGAGAUUGUGAAACUACCUGCAGCUACGGUCAAUUAAUCGACGGCGGCUUUAAUCCACGACGCUGCGCAGCUUUUCGUUCGGGUCGUGCCGCGCGUUCCACCGAUUUCCGACGUUUCGCCCCUCAUGCCAGCAGCUUUAAUGAAAUCCAUUAUUAUUAUGAUAACCAAAUAUGUGAACCUGAAACCAAAUGAACUUCACGGAAUAGCACUUUUAAAAAUAUCACAAUUGAGUCCUGUAACACAAGAAAUAUAUUCGACUAAACAUUGUACAAUUGAUGUGAAAUGUAAAUAACAAUAUACAGUCACGUGUGCAUCCACUACUGGAUGAAAGCUUCCCAAUGCGGGUGUUGGUCGUGUGGGUUAAUUGACCAUACUUCACUAGACCGGUUCACACAUCAUUCGCCACUGAGGCCUGAUAAUCAUUGCAUAAGCGCUAACCGCUGUGCCACCACUCCACCUGUUUGAUCUCUAUCUUUACCAUAUGUACAUAUACCUCGCAGUGUAUCCUGGAUUACAGAGGGAUGAUUCUAAUCAUUCCACAUUGCUCAGAAACAGCAACAUUGACAGCAGUGCAAUGGGCACACCUUUUUCAAUUCAGAAAAGGUAAUUCCGGGGUCGUUCAUUUCAUUAGCAUCACCACCACUGUCAUAACUCCUCUAUUUUCUUGCAUAGAUUUUGAUGAAUUGUCAGUGUCAGCUCAACUCUUGGUGUGCGCGUGUGUGCCGGCAUGUGUGUGUGUGUGGUAUCGCCUUUUGUGUAGCCAUCAGAACUGCGGAGACAAAAGUGGCCAGGCAUGGACCGGUGCGUGGUGAUGUCACAGCAGUGAGCGCCCUCUCCAUGAUGACGGUCCCAUGAUGGUGGCUCGGUGAGGCAUCGUCAGGAGCGCGGCGGUGCAGUUGAUGGCGCGGGUGAUGGCGCGGGUGACGUCAAAGUGAUGGUGCAGGUUAUGGCGGAGGUGGUGGUGCAGAAUGAGCAGCGACGGGUGAGCUGGCCUGGGUGAACGGCUGCGGAUGAGCAGCUACAGGUCAGCCGCUACGAGUGAACAGCUGUGGGCGAGCGGGCCUGGGCGAGCAGCCGCGGGAGCUCCGCGGGAACCUUGCAAUACACAGAGCGCCUCCCCCACCGCCUUCGUCUCGUAGACAUGGAAAUAGUCGGGGAAGGAAGGGCGCGCAUGCAGAGAGGGGAUGGAGCGCAGUCGAGGUCCCCGGUCUGAGUGCGCGGCCCGCAAUUAUCACGCGGCAAGACAACGAAGAGCACGUGGGCCAGCGUUUGAUCGUCCGAAGGAGGCCGAUACUGGCGAGGAGGAAUCGUCUUGCCGAGCCGCCGCUGAAUCGCUAAGGUCGCCGUCAGCCCGGGGAGAGUUUGUGAUCGACAAAAUAAAUGAUCGGGCGCCACCAUCGCGUUUCCCUUGCCGUCUUUGUCUCUCCCGUCAGAGACGGCGCGCGGUUCUGCAACCACGGACUCGCCACGGCGCACUCCGCACGGCGAGUCCGAGCAGUCGAAGUUUAUUUUUUUUUAAUAAAACAAAAUCGCAAAGUACCGACUGGACAAACGUUCUUCGAAAUGUUUUGCAGCCAAAUGCGCGGCCCUGCAACAGCUUGUUCACCGCCGCUGCUGGCGGAAGGGCCUCCACUCACAGGAGGGAGUUCUUGAGCACCCGUCUAGAUGGUAUUUGGCCUACUCUUCCACGUUGGCCAGCCGUUUUGGAAACUGGAGGAGUUACC